AAGUGCGGCAGGGCUGGGCAAGGUCACCAGCCUCACUUACUCCUCCAGAGCCAGCUGGGGCCAGUUUCUAUUCUGGCUUGUUUGUACGUAUUUGUUUGUUGUCUUCUCCGUUCGAUUGGAAGCUCCUUGAGGGCAGGGACUAUUUUUUUUUAACUUGUGUUUGUCUUUCCAGGUUUAACAAUGCACUUGGCAUGUAGUAAGCACUUAAUAAAUGCUUGUUUGCUGACUAAGGAAGAACAUCACCAGCAGAAGACAACAGAAUUCAGAGAACAGUCCUGAUGUCACUUACAGUCCUCUUCGAGAACAAAGGACAAACAACAGUGACAAAGGAGGGAGUCUUCACAUCUGAGCCAACCACCUCAAGGCUGUUAGAAGAUAUGAAAUCUCCAGAGAUCAGCCUGGCUGCCAUUCUGAUCUCUGCCCCAGGGCUGAUGACGGUAACCCCCAGAGGAGAUCAAGGGACUUCAUAACUUAUUUUAAGAAUCUCUCAAGAUUCCUGAGAAAGCUGCAACCUAAAACAGAAGGCUUUCCGUAAUCAUGUGGCUCAAUGGAAAGAAUGCUGUCCCGAGGUCAAAAGACCUGAGUUCAAAUGACUCCAAAUUCAACAUUCAUUCCAUACUAGCUUUUUUUCCCCCCCAGAUAAAGAACUACAAGGGAAGUGAAGGGCACAAAAAAUGCCCGUGACUAAGUGUAAGGACUUGAACAAUUCACUUCAUUGUCUUUGAACCUCAGUUUUCUCAUUUGAAAGAUGGAGAUAAAAGGAGUCAGAUGUACUACCUCCCUUACAGGGCUGAUGCAAGAAUCAGGUGGCUAUAAAGACCUCUGCAAUUACAGCUGGAAUUCAAAUUACCCUUGUCAUUCAAUUCAAUUCAAUGUGCAUUUUAUUAAGUGCUUUUGGGAUUCCAAGCCAUAGACUAAGUGUUAGAGAUACAAAGACAGAGAGGAAACAGACCCUGACCUCAAGGAAUUUAUUCCAUUCUAUAGGAAGGGGAGAAAAUAUGUCUGUUGAUAAAUAAAUACAAGGCGGGAGAAGAGCA
ensembl:lncRNA